AUUGAACGCUGGCGGCAGGCUUAACACAUGCAAGUCGAGCGAGUGGCGGACGGGUGAGUAAUGUCUGGGAAACUGCCUGAUGGAGGGGGAUAACUACUGGAAACGGUAGCUAAUACCGCAUACUAUCGGAUGAACCCAUAUGGGAUUAGCUAGUAGGUGAGGUAAUGGCUCACCUAGGCGACGAUCCCUAGCUGGUCUGAGAGGAUGAUCAGCCACACUGGGACUGAGACACGGCCCAGACUCCUACGGGAGGCAGCAGUGGGGAAUAUUGCACAAUGGGCGCAAGCCUGAUGCAGCCAUGCCGCGUGUGUGAAGAAGGCCUUCGGGUUGUAAAGCACUUUCAGCGAGGAGGCGUUACUCGCAGAAGAAGCACCGGCUAACUCCGUGCCAGCAGCCGCGGUAAUUC
rnacentral:rRNA from 1 species